UAGCCCUACCCUACCUACCUACCUACCAGA
rnacentral:piRNA from 1 species